UGAGUACGAGAUGCUACGGCGUCGAAGCAGUCUAGGUCAUACUUCCAAGAAAAGCUUGCACUGUCAUAAACAAAGAAUGCCUGUACCAUAACCGACACAGGUGGGUAGGUAGAGUAUACUAAGGGGCGCGAGAUAACUCUCUCUAAGGAACUCGGCAAAAUGACUCCGUAACUUCGGGAGAAGGAGUGCCUUAUUUUUAAGGUUGCAAUAACAAGAUCCAAGCAACUGUUUACCAAAAACACAGGUCUCCGCUAAGUCGUAAGACGAUGUAUGGGGGCUGACGCCUGCCCAGUGCCAGAAGGUUAAAGAAGUUGGUUAGCAUUUGCGAAGCUGAUAACUGAAGCCCUGGUGAACGGCGGCCGUAACAAUAACGGUCCUAAGGUAGCGAAAUUCCUUGUCGGGUAAGUUCCGACCCGCACGAAAGGCGUAAUGAUUUGGAUACUGUCUCGGAGAGGGGCUCGGUGAAAUAGACUUGUCUGUGAAGAUGCGGACUACCUGCACCUGGACAGAAAGACCCUAUGAAGCUUUACUGUAACUUGAGAUUGAAAUUGGACUUUAUUUGCGCAGUAUAGGUGGGAGGCGUUGAGAAUAAUCUUGCGGGAUUAUCGGAGCCAUCAGUGAGAUACCACUCUUGUAAUGUUAGAUUUCUAACUUUGUAUCAUUAUCUGGUCAAGGAACAGUUUCAGGCGGGCAGUUUGACUGGGGCGGUCGCCUCCCAAAGGGUAACGGAGGCGCACAAAGGUUUCCUCUGAACGGGUAGAAAUCGUAUCUAGAGUGUAAAGGCAUAAGGAAGCUUGACUGUGAGACCUACAAGUCGAGCAGGGACGAAAGUCGGUCUUAGUGAUCUGACGGUGCUGAGUGGAAAGGCCGUCACUCAACGGAUAAAAGUUACUCUAGGAUAACAGGCUGAUCUCCCCCAAGAGUUCACAUCGACGGGGAGGUUUGGCACCUCGAUGUCGGCUCAUCGCAUCCUGGGGCGGUAGUACGUCCCAAGGGUUGGGCUGUUCGCCCAUGAAAGCGGUACGCGAGCUGGGUUCAGAACGUCGUGAGACAGUUCGGUCCAUAUCCGGUGUAGGCGUUAGAAUAUUGAAAGGAGCCUUCUCUAGUACGAGAGGACCGAGAAGGACAUACCUCUGGUGUGCCAGUUAUCGUGCCAACGGUAAACGCUGGGUAGCUAUGUAUGGAGUGGAUAACCGCUGAAAGCAUCUAAGUGGGAAGCCCACCUUAAGAUAAG
rnacentral:rRNA from 1 species